CCUGCUCAAUGAUAAUAAAUAGCCGCAAUUUACGUGCUAAGGUAGCAUAAUAACCUGUUCUUUAAUUAAGAAAUAGAAUGAAAGGAUAAACGUUUUUAUUCUAUAUAUACAAUAUAAAUUUAAAUUAGCAAUAUAGUCAAAAACCUAUUAAAAUUAAGGAAGACGACAAGACCCUACAAACUUAAAUAUUUAACUGGGGUAGUAAAAUAAUAAAUUUUUAUUAUAGUAUUAAAUAUAUAAGCUAAAAAGAAUUAACUAAAGUUACUAUAGGGAUAACAGCGUAAUAUAUAUUUAAAGUUCUUAUUAAAAUAUAUUAAUGCGACCUCGAUGUUGAAUUAAUUAAUCUUCAAUAAGUAUAACUACUGAAAGAAAGUCUGUUCGACUUAUAAAUAAUUACAU
rnacentral:rRNA from 1 species